rnacentral:tRNA from 1 species
GCGGACGUGGCGGAACUGGCAUACGCGUACGGCUCAGGACCGUAUGGGGAAACCCUUAAGAGUUCAACUCUCUUCGUCCGCACCA